GAUAAAUAUCGAUGUUUUAAUAUGGCGUGAGUAGUAAAGUGUCCUCGUCGAAUGUGCAAGCAUUUAUUUUUUAAUGAAUAUAAUAAAUUUGUGAAACAUAGAGCAGUGAUAAAGUUUUAAUGUGUUUAAAUUUGAAAAGUGUAAUCAUUUGUAAUAUAUAUUACCUGUUCUAUUUUCAUAUAUAAAAAUUAUUUUACGUAAAUUUAUUCUACGUUACGUCGCAAUAAGACUGUCAAGGAUAAACGUAUAAAGUGCAAUUCAAUGGUCGGUAUAGAAGUUUUCUGCUAAAGCAACGACCGUUGGAACAGAAUCGAUUUCACCCUUUCUCUGAAGAUGGCAACAACUCCCACAAUCCUAUGAAUAUUAAUACUGGAUAAAACUAUGACCAACUUCAAUGAUCGAUUAACGGGCAAACUUCAUCUAAUUGUUGGAAACUAAUUAAAAUCAAGAACAAGAAGUUGGAACUAAAUUAGGAAAGAUGGAACCGUGUGUCCCCAGCGUGUGUUGCCAACCACUAUAAACUUCAGAAGGCUGCAAUUACUUCACUUUGCACUUUUUCAACCAACAUCGUUUAAAGUGAAACCAUGCUGCGUAUUCUGCCUUUUAAGGAUUAGAAGACUGUUAUUGAGAAGAAAAGAGGAAAAUUGUGGAUUGGAGGAAUUCCAGUAGCCUGCAACUGCAACAGCACUGAACUUCCUGUUUCCUGAGUUGCUUCGAGCUGCCCGCCUUAUCGUCACUGUUCUUCCGUCACUGUGACCACGGUUCUCCGUUCCUUCGUCGAGGUCAAACUCACAAGUUCGUCGUUGCCCCUCUCCAAGAUUCACCGGCUCGAGAUAGCGGGGCCGAUCCUCGAUUGCUUCGAAGUGUCAUUGCGAGCCGGCUGCUUCCAGAUCUUCGACAAAGCGCGAUAAUCCAAAGUUUCGUUAGGAGUUCGAGGACAUCGGGCCGGAACGUGGAGGACACUCGGACGAGGGAAAGAUGAAACUGGCGAGAGAGAGAGGGGUGAAGCGAGACGACACGCAGGAAUCGAAUAUCUAUUAUUCUGGAGGCUGAAGACGAUGAAACGUCGCCGAAGAGGAUGUGGAUCCCGAGGUGGUGCUCGAAAGUUCCCCUCGUUCUUUUCGAUCCCCGGCGAAACUGUGAAAGAGCGGAUCUUUUCGAUCGUUCGAUUCAUUUCGGUGAACUUUGGUGAGCAAACGAUUCGAUUCUUCUUAUAUCCCGCCGGAUGGAACGGAUGAUCGAUGGAGGAAUGAUGAUGAGACGAUAAAGCAAGGGAGUAAUUUUAGAAAUAUAUUUGAAAUUUGUGUUGGAACGUCAGAAUUGAAAAAUUAUCUUUGCAAGGGUGAUUCCCUUGAAAAUUUAUGAAAUAAAUUUUAGCGAUGUGAUUUA